AAUGAACGUUGGCGGCGUGGAUUAGGCAUGCAAGUCGAGCGAGAACCCCGCAAGGGGGGACAGCGGCGAAAGGGACAGUAAUGUGUAGGUACCUACCCUCGGGUCCGGGAUAGCUGCGGGAAACUGCAGGUAAUACCGGAUGACAUCUCCGGAUCAAAGGUGUGAUUCCGCCCGGGGAGGGGCCUGCAUCCUAUUAGCUAGUUGGUGAGGUAACGGCUCACCAAGGCCAUGAUGGGUAGCGGGUGUGAGAGCACGACCCGCGUCACUGGGACUGAGACACUGCCGAGACCCCGAGUGGUGGCUGCAGUCGAGGAUCUUCGGCAAUGGGCGAAAGCCUGACCGAGCGACGCCGCGUGCGGGAUGAAGGCCUUCGGGUUGUAAACCGCUGUCAGUGGGGAGGAAGGCUCCGUGAAGAGCGGGGUUUGACCUAUCCGCAGAGGAAGCAAGGGCUAAGUUCGUUCCAGCCGCCGCAGUAACAC
rnacentral:rRNA from 1 species